rnacentral:rRNA from 1 species
AACGCUGGCGGCGUGGAUUAGGCAUGCAAGUCGAACGGUAUCAUCCUUCGGGGGUGAGAGAGUGGCGAACUGGUGAGUAACACGUAGGUUAUCUACCUCAAGACGGGGACAACCCAGGGAAACUUGGGCUAAUACCGGAUGUGAGCAACUUUUAGUUGUUUGAAAGGUGGCGUAAGCUGUCGCUUGGGGAUGAGCCUGCGUCCUAUUAGUUAGUUGGUGAGGUAACGGCUCACCUAGGCAAUGAUAGGUAGGCGGCCUUAACGGGUGGUCGCCCACACUGGGAUUGAGAUACGGCCCAGACUCCUACGGGAGGCAGCAGUCGAGAAUAGUCUACAAUGGUCGGAAGACUGAUAGUGCGACGCCGCGUGAACGAUGAAUCCCUUCGGGGUGUAAAGUUCUUUUAUAUGUGAGCAGUGCUUCUUAUAUUAACAGUAUGGGGAGAGAGAUAUUAGCAUAUGAAUAAGCAACGGCUAACUCCGUG